rnacentral:rRNA from 1 species
UGUGGUUAAUUCGACGCAACGCGAAGAACCUUACCUGGGCUUGGCAUCCCGAUCGCACCUUAUGGAAACAUAGGGGUCAGUUCGGCUGGAUCGGUGACAGGUGCUGCAUGGCUGUCGUCAGCUCGUGUCGUGAGAUGUUGGGUUAAGUCCCGCAACGAGCGCAACCCUUGCCUUAGUUGCCAGCAUUCAGUUGGGCACUCUAAGGAGACUGCCGGUGUCAAACCGGAGGAAGGUGGGGAUGACGUCAAGUCCUCAUGGCCCUUAUGGGUAGGGCUUCACACGUCAUACAAUGGUCGGUACAGAGGGUUGCCAACCCGCGAGGGGGAGCUAAUCCCACAAAGCCGAUCGUAGUCCGGAUCGCAGUCUGCAACUCGACUGCGUGAAGUCGGAAUCGCUAGUAAUCGUGGAUCAGCAUGUCACGGUGAAUACGGUUCCCGGGUCUU